CUACCAAAAACCUUCAUGUUUUUUUUUUUAACAGUCUAUAUGCACUUUACCUGAAUAAAGAAAACAUUAAAAAAACAAAGUGCACACAAUGCAUCAGACUGCAUUCUACUAAUUUCAGAACUUAAUUUUCUCUUGAUACUUAUAGGUGGAUGUUGAUAGUUUCUCCAUGUCUGGGGACUGAUAUGCCUAACACAGAGUAGUAGGUCUCACUAUGCUCACGCUAAUGUACAUGUUUCCUGUUCAUGAAAACUGGCUGAUCAAGGCAUUCUUGACU